AACGAACGCUGGCGGCAUGCCUAACACAUGCAAGUCGAACGGGAUCCUAGCUUGCUAGGUGAGAGUGGCGGACGGGUGAGUAACACGUGGGAAUCUGCCUUUUGGUUCGGGAUAACCGCGGGAAACUGCGGCUAAUACCGAAUGCCCUCGAGAGAGGAAAGAUUUAUCGCCAGAAGAGGAGCCCGCGUCCGAUUAGGUAGUUGGUGGGGUAAAGGCCUACCAAGCCGACGAUCGGUAGCUGGUCUGAGAGGAUGAUCAGCCACACUGGGACUGAGAUACGGCCCAGACUCCUACGGGAGGCAGCAGUGGGGAAUAUUGGACAAUGGGGGCAACCCUGAUCCAGCCAUGCCGCGUGUGUGAAGAAGGCC
rnacentral:rRNA from 1 species